CGAUCAGGAAGUUCAUCUGGUUGAAAUUGUUGAUUAAAGUCUUGAUUUUGACUACUACUAAGUUCUGUUAGUUUUCUUCAGCAAAAUGUUUUAGAAUUAUCUAUAAUCACAUCAUCCUCAAGAAAUUUGAAGGAAGAAGAGGAUGUGAGGUGGUGGACUUUCUCAACACACUGUUACUUGUCCCACAGAUAGGAGGUAUGGGAUGAAAAAGUCAUGAGAUCCUGUAGUUUUGCUACAGAAUGGGACAGGGCUCUCUUCCUGGUACGGUUUUCCACCCACUGUUGCAUCAAUAUUUGCAGUAAUGUGGGACAGCGUCAGCUUUCCAGGAACAGGCCGUAGUGGAGGCUGUCAUCCUACAGUUGCUGAUGGGGUCUGGUGGGCAGACCAAGGUUGGGAGAGAUAAGAGGUGUUGAAGUGUCAGGUCAUCAGCAGCGCUGCUGAUUCCUUUCUUCUCACUUGGAUGAACUCAGAACUCAGAAUUUGAUUGAAAAGGAUAUUUCCCAAUUUACCAAAUGAAAAGAAUCAUCUGGUAUGUGGUAGCUUGAAUUAUGUACUCCAAUUUACACAUUUUCAACUUAAUCCACAUUCCUGUGGGUGUGAACCCACUGUAAAUAGGACUUCUUGAAGGUGUUAUUUUUAGUUAAGUUGCAGCCCAACUGAACCAGGUGGGCUUUACUCUGGAUUUUUGGAGGCCUUAGAAGGAGAAAGCCACAGGGAGGAGCCUGAAGCAGGGAAUCAGUGGGAACUGGACUGGAAAGGAGAGAAGAGAUUCAAGCCAAGAAUUGCUGCAAUCCAGCACCCGAAUGCUACCAACCCCAGAGGAAGCAAACCUUCAAGCCUCUGAAGCUGUUGCAGUUGUUUAAGCCAAUCCACUGCAUGUAUUUGUCAUAGCAGCCAGGCAAACUUAGACCUGGGGCUACUGCAUGAAAAUGUGGAUUCCCAACUCCUUUCCCAGAAAAUUUGGAUUCAGGAGGCUUGGGGUACGUCCCCAAAUAAAUAUUUUUAAAUCAUUUCCAAUGAUUCUUAGGAUCAGCAAAGCUUGAGAAACAAUUGAAAGAUUCAUUAAGAUUUAUUU